UGGUCGGUUCGAGUAUGUGAUAUUUCGGAGCAGAAUCUAGUUCCUUCGAUAUAGCAUUGAUAUCGAAGGAACUAGAUUCUGUUCCGAAAUAUCACAUACUCGAAC
rnacentral:miRNA from 1 species